rnacentral:rRNA from 1 species
CGGCUAAAUGAGGACAAAGCUGUCUCUUACGGCCUAGCCAAUGAAAUUGAUCCUCCAGUACAAAAGCUGGAAUAAACUCAUAAGACGAGAAGACCCUGUGGAGCUUUAAAACCAAGAUCAUUAAACUAUGCUCCUUGGAUUUUUAGUUGGGGCGACUUUGGAGCAAAAAAAACCCUCCAAAACAUAAAUUUAAUUAUUUAGACCAACACACCAAGAAAAUUAUAUUAGACCCAGCAGUAUUUUUUACUGUCUGACCAAUGAACCAAGUUACCCCAGGGAUAACAGCGCUAUCCUCUUCUAGAGUCCCUAUCGACAAGAGGGUUUACGACCUCGAUGUUGGAUCAGGACACCCCUAUAGUGCAGCCGCUAUAAAAGGUUCGUUUGUUCAACGAUUAAAGUCCUACGUGAUCUGAGUUCAGACCGGA